rnacentral:rRNA from 1 species
CGUAGGGUGCGAGCGUUAAUCGGAAUUACUGGGCGUAAAGCGUGCGCAGGCUGUUUUGUAAGUCAGAUGUGAAAUCCCUGGGCUCAACCUAGGAACUGCGUUUGAAACUACAAGGCUAGAGUGUAGCAGAGGGGGGUAGAAUUCCACGUGUAGCAGUGAAAUGCGUAGAGAUGUGGAGGAAUACCAAUGGCGAAGGCAGCCCCCUGGGUUAACACUGACGCUCAUGCACGAAAGCGUGGGGAGCAAACAGGAUUAGAUACCCUGGUAGUCCACGCCCUAAACGAUGUCUACUAGUUGUUGGGAGAGUAAAAUCUCUUAGUAACGCAGCUAACGCGUGAAGUAGACCGCCUGGGGAGUACGGUCGCAAGAUUA